rnacentral:snoRNA from 1 species
CUGCAGCCAAUUAAGCCUACCCUGCUACUUUCCUCAUGGGGGCCCGGUGUGCAAUGGCUGCAAACAGCAGCCUCCUUGAUAGUGUAUGCAGCCUGCUGCUAGUAUGGGACCUUGAAGACAGUC